GGGCCGUUGGUCAAGCGGUUAAGACAGCGCCCUUUCACGGCGGUAACACGGGUUCGAAUCCCGUACGGGUCA
rnacentral:tRNA from 1 species